rnacentral:rRNA from 1 species
UACAGAGGUCCCAAGCGUUGUUCGGAUUCACUGGGCGUAAAGGGUGCGUAGGCGGUCGGGUAAGUCUGGCGUGAAAUCUCCAAGCCUAACUUGGAAACUGCGUUGGAUACUAUCCGGCUCGAGGAAUGGAGGGGAGACUGGAAUACUUGGUGUAGCAGUGAAAUGCGUAGAUAUCAAGAGGAACACCAGUGGCGAAGGCGAGUCCCUGGACAACUUCUGACGCUGAGGCACGAAGGCUAGGGGAGUGAACGGG